AUAAAACGAUUACAUGAAGGAGCAAUCUAAACGAUUAGCUUUUAUGUCUGUUUUAUAUCUCUGGUUUAGGUUGAGUGGAAUUAAAACCAACCUUGUUUGGAAAACAAAUUUUCGGACAUUCAAACCUCAACCAAGUAACCAUCCGCGGUGUUGAUUGGACUGCACGGUUGUGAUUUUACACGUCCUGAACAGAUACUUUUUGUACUAAGGACCAGGUGAUGAUGGCUUCAUUUAUGGACCCCCCACCUUGUGCCUGCGUAGCGUCAGGGGAUUUUUGUUUCAUUGUUUCCCCCAUUACACAAUGCUUGAAAUCUCAAGGUAAUACAUAUUUUACAGUCAACUCAUCCAAACUGA